GAUGAACGCUGGCGGCGUGCCUAAUACAUGCAAGUCGAGCGAACAGACGAGGAGCUUGCUCCUCUGACGUUAGCGGCGGACGGGUGAGUAACACGUGGAUAACCUACCUAUAAGACUGGGAUAACUUCGGGAAACCGGAGCUAAUACCGGAUAAUAUAUUUAACCGCAUGGUUCAAUAGUGAAAGACGGUUUUGCUGUCACUUAUAGAUGGAUCCGCGCCGCAUUAGCUAGUUGGUAAGGUAACGGCUUACCAAGGCAACGAUGCGUAGCCGACCUGAGAGGGUGAUCGGACACACUGGAACUGAGACACGGUCCAGACUCCUACGGGAGGCAGCAGUAGGGAAUCUUCCGCAAUGGGCGAAAGCUUGACGGAGCAACGCCGCGUGAGUGAUGAAGGUCUUCGGAUCGUAAAACUCUGUUAUUAGGGAAGAACAAAUGUGUAAGUAACUAUGCACGUCUUGACGGUACCUAAUCAGAAAGCCACGGCUAACUACGUG
rnacentral:rRNA from 1 species